GUGCUAUAGCGAUAUGGCUUCGUGCCACCGUGCCCGUGCCCACUCCAUUCAGAUCAUCAAGGUCGAAUCAGUUGAGGCCUCCAAGACCCGUCGUGCUCACAUCAAGCUGUUCCACGACUCGAAGAUCCGCUUCCCGCUGGUGCAAAGAAACCACCACAAGCGCUACAGGAAGCUGUUAUCUUUCCGCCGACCGGAUACUUACUAUCAGUAAACCAGGAGCCGCCGUUCAUGUACUGUUAAUUCCACUCUUUUUUAGGGAGUAAAAAUGAUGAAGAUCCGUAAGAAACCAUGUAAA